rnacentral:rRNA from 1 species
ACGAGUGGCGGACGGGUGAGUAACGCGUAGGAAUCUACCUUUCGGCGGGGGAUAGCCCGGAGAAAUCCGGAUUAAUACCGCAUAAGCCCUACGGGGGAAAGCGGGGGACCACUUGUGGCCUCGCACCGAUAGAUGAGCCUGCGUUAGAUUAGCUAGUUGGUAGGGUAAAGGCCUACCAAGGCGACGAUCUAUAGCUGGUCUGAGAGGAUGAUCAGCCACACUGGAACUGAGACACGGUCCAG